UCAGCAAUCAGCUCCAAUCAUCUCCAGCUGCUCUGAGGAUCCUAUAAAAGCAGCUCCUGCAGGUUGGAGUCUCUAUCAGGGGGAUCUGAGGUCUAUCUUUCACUAGCAGCAGAGCAGCACUAUGAGAAUGUUGUGGAUUUCUUUCCUCCUGAUUGGAAGCAUCACCUGUGCUCCUCAAACUCCAGGUAGUCAAGAUGAACAGCUGCCAUGGUGGUAUAAAGAUCC